UAAUACGAAGGGGGCGAGCGUUGUUCGGAUUUACUGGGCGUAAAGGGCGCGCAGGCGGCUAUUUUUGUCAGGCGUGAAAGCCCCGGGCUUAACCUGGGAACUGCGCUUGAGACGGGAUGGCUAGAGAUCGGGAGAGGAGAGUGGAAUUCCCAGUGUAGAGGUGAAAUUCGUAGAUAUUGGGAAGAACACCGGUGGCGAAGGCGGCUCUCUGGACCGAUACUGACGCUGAGGCGCGAAAGCGUGGGGAGCAAACAGGAUUAGAUACCCUGGUAGUCCACGCUGUAAACGAUGUGUGCUAGACGUUGGGGAGCCUAGCUCUUCGGUGUCGCAGCUAACGCUUUAAGCACACCGCCUGGGGAGUACGGCCGCAAGGUUA
rnacentral:rRNA from 1 species